AACUUUUGCCAAGUUGUUGAAUGCUUAGAGAUUCUAAGUAUUGUGAUUCAUUUACUUGUAUAGGAAGAUCUGAUGA
rfam:Arabis alpina cultivar Pajares chromosome 5, whole genome shotgun sequence.